ACGCCGCGUGAGGGAAGAAGCUCUACGGAGUGUAAACCUCUGUUAGGAGGGACGAAAGGCACCGAUGUGAAUAAUAUCGGUGAGAUGACGGUACCUCCAGAGAAAGCCCCGGCUAACUCCGUGCCAGCAGCCGCGGUAAUACGGGGGGGGCGAGCGUUGUCCGGAAUCACUGGGCGUAAAGGGCACGUAGGCGGACAAGUAAGUCGAAGGUGAAAUCCUAUCGCUUAACGAUAUGGACUGCCUUCGAUACUGCUUGUCUUGAGUGCGGGAGAGGGAGGCGGAAUUCCCGGUGGUAGCGGUGAAAUGCGUAGAUAUCGGGAAGAACACCAGUAGCGAAGGCGGCUUCCUAACCCGUAACUGACGCUGAAGUGCGAAAGCGUGGGGAGCAAACAGGAUUAGAUACCCUGGUAGUCCACGCCGUAAACGAUG
rnacentral:rRNA from 1 species